GCAGGAAGAUUACUGCAUACUGAGUCCAGAUCUGACAAUCUGGAUCCUCAAUGUGUAUGAAGCAUCAAAGUCAGAAGCAGCAGGCAAAUUCCAUUCCAGCCUUGACAAGGCAAGAGGAGAGGCAAUAUGCACACGAGGUGGUGGAACUUUCCUGGACCCUCCCAGGAAGGAAGCUAUCCCAGCCUCCACGGUGCUUUUCCUGCUUCCAGUGGUCGAGGCUGAAUCAUCAGGCGCCUGGUUGGCGUCUUCUCUGUAUUUGUCCGGCUGUGCAGAAAAUGUUUUAGAAGAAUCCUUUUCAGCAAGUUCAGCUUUGAUGUUACUAUCUUUUCCAUCUCUAAUAUCUACUAUUCGGUGGUAAGCUCUUGUCGUGUUUUGGUAUGAGUGUCUGUUGGUACAGGUCAGCACAUGUUCGUCUAGUAACUUUUCACAGCUGAAGCCAAAUCCACAACUAUCACAGGUAAAGCUCCGUCCAAAGCGUCGAGACACACGUUCUUUUGGAGUAGAUAAUUUGGACACAGAACUUUUUUUACACACAUCAAACAGCGGCUCGGGGAAGUUGGCCAACUGCAAAGACUCUUCCUCAGGUUCUCUGUGAUGCGGCGUAUUCACCGUUGAACUGGGCUCCGCACACCACCUGUUGGCUUCAUUGCCAUUUCUAGCCACCGUGUCUUCAUACAUUCUCACCCCAAAAAUCAUCUUGCUGCUCUGCCUGCUGGAGGCAGAAGACGAACACUUUGAACUAGAACAGUCUGCGUCCUGUAUGUCUUCCAAGCAGUCAGGAACAUUGUACAGCUGGAGGUAGUUCAUUGCCACUUUGAACUGCUCGAAACUGGAAGGAGCGGUCAUGAUCUUUCCUAAAUACAUGAACUGCAAAAUGAGAUCAAAGCACUCAGCACUUAUCUUCAUGUUGCUGAGGUUCAGUUGUGCAGUACUGUGCUGAUGGUUCAUGAAA
rnacentral:lncRNA from 1 species